GCUGCUAGCGAAGCGGUGGUCAACGGUGCCGUCGACGUCGUCCUUGGCAGAAGGUAAGCCAAGAUCAAUCUCUCACAAUAUUCCUUUGUCAUCUGUGUUCUUAUGAAACUUAGUGAUUGGACUUUCUCUGUUAUGUUUCACAAAUUGCUACUUUUAGUUAUCCCCAUUGGCUUGCGGAUAUGCUCCUGCUGGGUUGUUCUUGUUUAUUUUCUCUAUCCAACAUCAUUGCAGGUUGGUGUUUCCUCUCUUUCUCACUGCAGCUACCUAUGCCUCUAUUAUUCUAGGAUUUUGCAAGUUAAAUACUCAUGUGUGCUGAACUGAAAAGUUCUCUAUGCAACAUCUAUUGCAGGUUGGUGUUUCCUACCUAUGCCUCUAUUAUUCUAGGAUUUUGAAAGUUAAUUGCUCAUGUGUGCUGAAUUGAAAAGCUCAAUGAAAGGCACUUAUUUCUAUGCACAAAUGCUUUUGUUGCUAUAAGAAUCUGUAGAGAAGAAAUAUAUAUGUCUCCUCCGUUCAUUGCCCUUUUUUUGCGGGUAGUUCAUUGCCAUUUUGGAUUCAUAUGUGAAGUCUAUUGUUGUUAAUUACAGUUAACUAAUUUAUUAAUUCUUGGUUGUUUUAGUUGCUGACCAUAUGAUUGGUAGCCUUGGACAGAAGAGGGCCAGCAACAAACAGAAGCAACCACUGUCCUGUCCAGA
rnacentral:lncRNA from 1 species